rnacentral:rRNA from 1 species
AGUGAACGCUGGCGGUAGGCCUAACACAUGCAAGUCGAACGGCAGCACAGUAAGAGCUUGCUCUUACGGGUGGCGAGUGGCGGACGGGUGAGGAAUACAUCGGAAUCUACUUUUUCGUGGGGGAUAACGUAGGGAAACUUACGCUAAUACCGCAUACGACCUACGGGUGAAAGCAGGGGAUCUUCGGACCUUGCGCGAUUGAAUGAGCCGAUGUCGGAUUAGCUAGUUGGCGGGGUAAAGGCCCACCAAGGCGACGAUCCGUAGCUGGUCUGAGAGGAUGAUCAGCCACACUGGAACUGAGACACGGUCCAGACUCCUACGGGAGGCAGCAGUGGGGAAUAUUGGACAAUGGGCGCAAGCCUGAUCCAGCCAUACCGCGUGGGUGAAGAAGGCCUUCGGGUUGUAAAGCCCUUUUGUUGGGAAAGAAAAGCAGCAGGUUAAUACCCCGCUGUCCUGACGGUACCCAAAGAAUAAGCACCGGCUAACUUCGUGC